rnacentral:lncRNA from 1 species
CUUCCUCUCCUUUUUGGCUUGUAACACGGCUCUGGACGUCAGCACUGUUGAAGUAGGGACGCUAAAAGCCUCAAAAGCACUCGAGAACGAAAACAAACGUAAUAAAAGUUAAAGCAUACAGCGGAUUCCUGCCGGGAUGCUCGCUCCGACCGGAGCCCCGUUUCUGGGAGCUGUUUCUCCACUGCUCCGAAAUCCUUCGUCUCACUCCGGAGGAGCUUCGCCACGCUGUUUUCUUUGCAUAUCUGUGAAACACUUGGGGUGAAAAGUCCCCAAAGCGAUGAUGUGACCGCGAGGAGCGGAGGAGGACGGGCGCGGCGGUGCCCCCGCGGGACGCAGAGCCUCGGGGACUUCGGCCUUUUGGAGGUGACUUUGGACGGCGUUCCUUCCUCUGGGCUCAGCAUUUGGGUUCGGUGCCGCUCGGAGUCCGGAUCUCCUGGAGGACAGAGGGCAGCGCGUCCCCCCCGUCGGACUCAGCUCCCGCCGGGUUAAAACCGGACUCACCGCGCUCCUAUCAAUCAGAGCAGAUUGUAACCCAGCGCGCAACGUAACGCCCUCCGCUCUCCACAUGCCUUUUCUUUGGAGUAACAUAUGAGAUUAUUAUACUUCUGAUUCUAAUAAUAUUUUUUUUUCUUGAAGUUAAGGGACUGGCAGGGCUCCACGAUCAAUCGGAUUUUUAAACCGUGUUUUGACAUUAGUUCGUGGGUAUUUUUUUUUUGUUUUUGUUUUUUUUUUUAAGACGUGCUGAUUAUAUCAAUAAACAGAUUUUUUUUUCAUACACUGUAUUUGUAACUUAUGAUCAUAGUUAAAUAUUAAAAGGCGCAAGACGUGAGUUCGUCUAAGAACGAAGUGCUUACUUAUGCCUUAUUCUGUACGUGCAGGGAGUGCUUUAGAGUGGAUUCAGUGUGUACUGAAAGUGGGAGCUUAGGCACCUCAGGAUUCUUUACCUCGCAGAUUUUUAAUGACUCUUUUCACUGCACCGAUGGCACGAAUAUUCUGCAGGAUGUAGACAGACAGCUCCCAUUAGUCAUAAAUCGGCCGUACUCAACAGGCCAAAAGCAAAUAAAUAAAUAAAUAAAAAUAAAAAGCUCACCCCCAAAAUGACAGCAACGGAUUCUCCGCAGUUUUCUUCCUUCCGUAUAUCUUUAUUAAGCAGAUUUAAGAGCAAUCUCAGCCCACUGAACAGCCAGGUACUGCGUUACUCAGAAAUUCCCUCUAGGAUUUCUCUGCACGCCUCUUGUAUCGUGUGUAGACGUAGCAUGGAGGCGAUUUAGCCGACUUCGAAUUGACCUUAAGGGCUGGCAAAAGCUUUCCAAGAGGGAUGUCCUGUCCUGGGGUCACAGAAGGCCCAACCCUGGCUGCGUCCAGCACCUGGAGGUGAAGGCACUUCUCUCUGGGAUCCACUCCCCUGAGCUGUGUCCCGGAAGAGGAGAGGGAACGACUUAAAGGCUUCUGCAGAGGGGCUGCGGGCUCCGGAGAGG